GACGAACGCUGGCGGCGUGCUUAACACAUGCAAGUCGAACGCUGAAGCUCUUUCGGGGGUGGAUGAGUGGCGAACGGGUGAGUAACACGUGGGUAAUCUGCCCUGUCCUUCGGGAUAUGCCUUGGAAACGGGGACUAAUACCGGAUAGCAUCUGUCCUCCCACUGGGGUGGGUCGAAAGUUCCGGCGGUCUGGGAUGAGCCCGCGGCCUAUCAGAUUGUUGGUGGGGUAGUGGCCUACCAAGGCGACGACGGGUAGCCGGCCGGGGAGGGUGACCGGUCACACUGGGACUGAGACACGGCCCAGACUCCUACGGGAGGCAGCAGUGGGGAAUCUUGCGCAAUGGGCGAAAGCCUGACGCAGCAACGCCGCGUGGGAGAUGACGGCCUUCGGGUUGUAAACUUCUUCCGACAUCGACGAAGGGGCCCUGUUGUGGGGUUUUGACGGUAGGUGUAGAAGAAGCACCGGCUAACUACGUGCCAGCCGCCGCCGUAA
rnacentral:rRNA from 1 species